rnacentral:pre_miRNA from 1 species
UCUUCUGGACAAGCAAUGAAAGUGGUUUCUUGAGAUGGAAUCUACUCUUGGUGAAGAUGCUGUGAA